CUCUUGAAGCAGACGGAAAACCCAAUUUGCUACGAGACACCGAAAGUGAUCUCCCGUCCCCACCCCUCUCUCCGACUCCCUCUCCUCCUCACUCCCUAGGCAUGGCGGCGCCCCUCACCGGCCCUCUACCGCCCCUCCCGUCCCCCUUCCGCGCGCCCCUCACCGGCAGCAGUGAGGAGCGGCGGCAGGGUGACGUGCGGGGGCGGCGCACGGGCCAGGGCGCGGUGGGGCGCAGCGCGGGGGCAAGGCGUCCCUCCCCAAGUACGCCGCUCUGCUGGCGCCGCCGGAUUUCGCCGCGCGCCGCCCCUCUCGGGCCUCGGCGCCAUCCGUCCCGUCACGCCGCCCCUCCCGGCCGUCAUCGUGGGUCCCCUCCCGUGCUGCUACCGGUUGUUGCACGGUGGCGGAGCGCAGCCGCGUGGUCCCGCAGGUGCUGUGGCUGGCCUAGGCGUGGCACGUAGGACUAUGGCAGCGGUGGCAGAUUGGAGCGUGACGCACUCGCCUUCCUCGACCUCUUCCGUAGCCGUCGCCCUGUGGCCAGCGUUAUCGAGGUGCCGGGACGACGCUGGAUUCUUCUGUUAUGGUGCUCCACUCCUACUCCCUUCUGCAAUGGAUUAGGCCGCAGCCUGCAGGGUAUCAGGCGUUGCACCUGAAGUGCUGAUACUUGCCUCAAUCAGAUUGUUGCCUGAAUGUGGUCUACCUGAUCAUCAUAUUUGUCAUGUGAUCUUAGAGUAUGUAUUUUCCUUAGCUUAUGCCCAUCUUUAUACUGUUUUACUUCUUCUGAAAUCCUACAGCGGGUUUAGCCUGCACAAUGGUCAGACCAACAUCUUUUUCUUUCAUAGGAGUAUAUAUAGAAUACAUGGGAUCGGAGUACUUUGUUGUUAUUAAUGCUUCCUGUAGUUUACAGGUUCCAUCCAAGGAAUGCAAUGUGUUUUGAUGGAUUGGAUAAAGGAAGACAUGUUUUGUGGGCUCCCACAAUUGCAUCAAAUGCCUUUUGUCAUUAUAUGCAUCAGGAUAAAUUAUGCCUGCUUCAAUUAAGGAUUCAUUGGAACCCUCCUCGCGAAAAUGGUUCCUGUAAAGCAAACUAAGAGCGGGGAAGGAACUAGGGCAGGCAUAAGCUCACCAAUUAGGAUGCGUGAUUGAUUUCUUUAAUAGAUAUGAAAUGAAGAUGCCUUGAAUGAACCCAAGCAAUCAAGCUUCAAUUGAUUUUGCCAUCCAAUUCAAGUAAUCAGUAUGUGAUGGUUGAACUAUAAAUUAUUUGGUACGUUAGAAAUCAUUUGAAUACCGGUUCAUAGGUUCCGGGUAGCAAUCAUUAAUUAUAUGCAGUAACUUAUUUUGGUUUCCUUAUUUGUGACCCAUCUGAAAUGCUUUGUUUUUUUUAUAAGACUGCCUUCAUUUAUCUGUUGAUAUACGUUUCUUUCAUUAAUUCAUUUGUUAGGUUCAGUCUGUAACAUCAUUGUUGGAUGAUCUGUUAUGUUUUCAUUCACUAAUCUUCUCAUUUUUCCAGCGUUGGGUACUCCUGCUCUGCACUGUUCUUCGACCAUAUAUUAUUGAUUUCGGAAUCAAAUUACUACAAGAGUAUGGUAUUUGAUAAAUUAUUGCAUUUCGAAGUUAGUUCAAAUUGUACUGAACAGAUUUGUCGAUUGAUAUCAAUAGGUAGGUUCUCGAUCAGUUAUAGACACCAUAUCAGGAGAUAAAUUGAUGAUAUUUCGUACUCCUAUUUAAUAUCAGCUGGUGAGUUGUCCAUUUCGAGGCCCACCAACAGGUACCUUCCUUCCAACACAUGUAAACCCAUCCUCUUAGAAUAUGUAGGUUGACAUUUCUAAGAUUAGUUUCCUGCCAGUUCGUGGGUCAAAUAUGCAUUCUUUCUCUCUAAGAAUGCCAUCAUCUGCCUCCCAUAACAAAAUUUUUCAUUUUCAAUACAUGCUUAAUGCUUCCACUUUGCAGGGAGCUAGAGUUAACACCUGAGAUUGUCUCAUGGACCCUUCCUGCAAUUGCAAAGCCUGCUGCACUGGUGGCCCAGCUUGCACUGCUUCUUCAUCGUUUUCCUCUUUACAUCUUUGGUCUUGGGUCAUAUAUUGCUCCUUCAGCUUUAUUUCUUCUUUCAGUUAUUUUGUAUUUGUUUCAACUGUUUUACCGCUUUGAUAGCUUCUAUUGCUUGGCCUUUGGGGUGCCAAUGCCCUGUUAUGAUCUUCACUUCCUGGAAUUAACAAAUAAUAUUUAUACUCAUGAUAUUUUAUU